UCCGAAGGGGGCUAGCGUUGCUCGGAAUGACUGGGCGUAAAGGGCGCGUAGGCGGAUUGUACAGUCAGGCGUGAAAUUCCCGGGCUCAACCUGGGGGCUGCGCUUGAGACGUGCGAUCUUGAGUGGGGAAGAGGGUCGUGGAAUUCCCAGUGUAGAGGUGAAAUUCGUAGAUAUUGGGAAGAACACCGGUGGCGAAGGCGGCGACCUGGUCCUUGACUGACGCUGAGGCGCGAAAGCGUGGGGAGCAAACAGG
rnacentral:rRNA from 1 species